rnacentral:misc_RNA from 1 species
GAUGAAGAACGCAGCGAAAUGCGAUAAGUAGUGUGAAUUGCAGAAUUCAGUGAAUCAUCGAAUCUUUGAACGCACAUUGCGCCCCUUGGUAUUCCAUGGGGCAUGCCUGUUCGAGCGUCAUUUGUACCUUCAAGCUUUGCUUGGUGUUGGGUGUUUGUCCCUCGGGACUCGCCUUAAAGUCAUUGGCAGCCAGUGUUUUGGUUUUGAAGCGCAGCACAAGUCGCGAUUCAAGGCUAUCCGCCCGCUUCCACAAGCCUUUUUCACUUUUGACCUCGGAUCAGGUAGGGAUACCCGCUGAACUUAAGCAUAUCAAUAAGCGAGGA